GUCCAUACCGUAAACGAUGAUUACUAGGUGUGGGGGUCUGACCCCUCCGUGCCGGAGUUAACACAAUAAGUAAUCCACCUGGGGAGUACGGCCGCAAGGUUGAAACUCAAAGGAAUUGACGGGGCCCGCACAAGCAGUGGAGUAUGUGGUUUAAUUCGAAGCAACGCGAAGAACCUUACCAGGUCUUGACAUCCAACUAACGAAGUAGAGAUACAUCAGGUGCCCUUCGGGGAAAGUUGAGACAGGUGGUGCAUGGUUGUCGU
rnacentral:rRNA from 1 species